rnacentral:rRNA from 1 species
AUGAACGCUAGCUACAGGCUUAACACAUGCAAGUCGAGGGGCAGCAUUUCAGUUUGCUUGCAAACUGGAGAUGGCGACCGGCGCACGGGUGAGUAACACGUAUCCAACCUGCCGAUAACUCGGGGAUAGCCUUUCGAAAGAAAGAUUAAUACCCGAUGGUAUAAUCAGACCGCAUGGUCUUGUUAUUAAAGAAUUUCGGUUAUCGAUGGGGAUGCGUUCCAUUAGGCAGUUGGUGAGGUAACGGCUCACCAAACCUUCGAUGGAUAGGGGUUCUGAGAGGAAGGUCCCCCACAUUGGAACUGAGACACGGUCCAAACUCCUACGGGAGGCAGCAGUGAGGAAUAUUGGUCAAUGGGCGCAGGCCUGAACCAGCCAAGUAGCGUGAAGGAUGACUGCCCUAUGGGUUGUAAACUUCUUUUAUAUGGGAAUAAAGUUUUCCACGUGUGGAAUUUUGUAUGUACCAUAUGAAUAAGGAUCGGCUAACUCCGUGCCAGCAGCCGCGGUAAUACGGAGGAUCCGAGCGUUAUCCGGAUUUAUUGGGUUUAAAGGGAGCGUAGGUGGACAGUUAAGUCAGUUGUGAAAGUUUGCGGCUCAACCGUAAAAUUGCAGUUGAUACUGGCUGUCUUGAGUACAGUAGAGGUGGGCGGAAUUCGUGGUGUAGCGGUGAAAUGCUUAGAUAUCACGAAGAACUCCGAUUGCGAAGGCAGCUCACUGGACUGCAACUGACACUGAUGCUCGAAAGUGUGGGUAUCAAACAGGAUUAGAUACCCUGGUAGUCCACACAGUAAACGAUGAAUACUCGCUGUUUGCGAUAUACAGUAAGCGGCCAAGCGAAAGCAUUAAGUAUUCCACCUGGGGAGUACGCCGGCAACGGUGAAACUCAAAGGAAUUGACGGGGGCCCGCACAAGCGGAGGAACAUGUGGUUUAAUUCGAUGAUACGCGAGGAACCUUACCCGGGCUUGAAUUGCAACUGAAUGAUGUGGAGACAUGUCAGCCGCAAGGCAGUUGUGAAGGUGCUGCAUGGUUGUCGUCAGCUCGUGCCGUGAGGUGUCGGCUUAAGUGCCAUAACGAGCGCAACCCUUAUCUUUAGUUACUAACAGGUCAUGCUGAGGACUCUAGAGAGACUGCCGUCGUAAGAUGUGAGGAAGGUGGGGAUGACGUCAAAUCAGCACGGCCCUUACGUCCGGGGCUACACACGUGUUACAAUGGGGGGUACAGAAGGCAGCUACCUGGUGACAGGAUGCUAAUCCCAAAAGCCUCUCUCAGUUCGGAUCGAAGUCUGCAACCCGACUUCGUGAAGCUGGAUUCGCUAGUAAUCGCGCAUCAGCCAUGGCGCGGUGAAUACGUUCCCGGGCCUUGUACACACCGCCCGUCAAGCCAUGAAAGCCGGGGGUACCUGAAGUACGUAACCGCAAGGAGCGUCCUAGGGUAAAACUGGUAAUUGGGGCU